rnacentral:rRNA from 1 species
UGCAAGUCGAGGGGUACGAUGGUGCUUGCACCAGUCGACGACCGGCGCACGGGUGAGUAACGCGUAUGCAACCUGCCCUUAACAGGGGAAUAGCCCGGAGAAAUCCGGAUUAAUGCCCCAUAAUAUGCAACCAUCGCCUGUUGGUUGCAUUAAAGCUCCGGCGGUUAAGGAUGGGCAUGCGUGACAUUAGGUAGUUGGUGGGGUAACGGCCUACCAAGCCGACGAUGUCUAGGGGGCCUGAGAGGGUAGUCCCCCACACUGGUACUGAGACACGGACCAGACUCCUACGGGAGGCAGCAGUGAGGAAUAUUGGUCAAUGGGCGCAAGCCUGAACCAGCCAUGCCGCGUGCAGGAAGACGGCCCUAUGGGUUGUAAACUGCUUUUAUACGGGAAUAACCGUUCCGACUUGUCGGGACCUGAAUGUACCGUACGAAUAAGCAUCGGCUAACUCCGUGCCAGCAGCCGCGGUAAUACG